AUAUAUGCUAUGAUGAAGAAAAGUAAAUUCAAAUAGAUGAUUUAAAGAGAGCAGAUGGCGGUGGGAUAUCUGCAUGAGUCUUGAAUUGAAAGAACACUUCGGAGCAAUUAACUGAAAUUUUAAUGAAAAGAGUAGGCUUAAUCGGGUCCAUGCCGUUACAAGUGGAGGGUAUAAAGCAAUUUUAGUUUUGUACUUGGUUGAGGUGAGUUUUUAUAAACUAACUAGGGUGGUACCGCGAAGAUAUUCUCGUCCCUAUG
rnacentral:ncRNA from 1 species